CCCCAGCAUUUGGUUUGCACAUGGCCUGGUCAGACACAGGUCCAACUUGCUCAGUCCUUAACCCAAGAGAGGGAGAAUGAAGGACUGGCACUGUUCAGGUGAUUGGUGUGACAGGGGUUAAACUGGGAAAACAUUGGGGAAUUCCUGUUUGUCUCUUUGCCAAACUCACCCAAACCUGUGCUAGGAAGAGAUGGACUGGAAAAGUUGAGGCAGAAAUGAAAUUGAAAACUGGGGCUAUUGAAACUGUAAUUGCUGAAACUAAAUGUGUCCAAGCAGCAGCUCUUGUUGUGCAGGGAAUAACUCCUGUCAGCAGCAAGGCCCCGACUGAAGUGGCAGCUGCAGUUGUUCCUGUGGUGUGGGCCAGUGGAACUGCAGGAGAGUGGAAGAGGGCAGAACCUGUAGGUAUUACCCCUGAUGUGGGAUCUCUCCUGGUAAGGCCAAGCCAGUAUCCUUUAAAAUCAGAAUGGCAGCUUGGAUUGGUUGCAGGAACAGCUGAAUUUGCUCCUCCUGGUUUGCUUGUAGAAGGUGAGUGCCAGAACCUGCCAAGAAACCAAUGGCCAAGGGGAUUGAUUAGUGCAGGACCUGAGAGAACCCCCUGAAAUGACAACCUGGAGCAGUUUCCAGGAUUAGAUUGCAAAGAUGGCCUUGGCUGCCUCUCCUUGAGCAAGGAAAGCCAAGAAACCUUUGCUUUUGCAGGAGAAAAUGGGGCAAGUGGGCAGGAAGAAGAGAAGCCCCGUGACUCCUCCCUGAGCCCCAGCCAGCCCAUGAACUGCCUUGCUGGGAAUGGUGGGACGGGCUGGACUCUGGAUUGCUCCCUCUGCAUCUGUGUGGGAUGGAGCCUGGAAACUGCACAGAGCUGAGCCAAGGGAUUGAAAGGGACCAACCAAGGGAGGUGAAGAAAGAAGGAAGAAGGGAAGUGAGGCAGCAGCCAAGCAGCACCAAGUUCCUGUGUAAGCAGUGUCCCAGUGUCCCUGCUUGGCUGUUUGUUGCCCUGCAGGCAGAGGAGCCCAGGCCUGAGCUGGCUGAGUGUUGGUGUGACCCAGAGUGGGUGUCCCUGCCCUCGGGACAGUCCCCAGAGCUGCCUUUGGCAUCCCCUGCUGAAGGGUGGGAGCUGCCCAGAGCCAGCAGCAUCCAGCUGGAGGAUGCAGGAGGAUGCAGCUCUGCUUUCCUGGGAGGAGAAAAUCUGGACAGGGGGAAGGAAGAAGAGAAGCCCCGUGACUCCUCCCUGAGCCCCAGCCAGCCCCUGAACUGCCUCCCUGGGAAUGGUGGGACGGGCUGGACUCUGGAUUGCUCCCUCUGCAUGUGUGGGCAGGUGACAGUCCCAGCUCCAGGGAUGGGAAAAAUGGUUAAAAGGGAGCCCCAAAAGCUGGAAAUCCUCCUGGAGGCUCUUGGCAAACAGAGUUUCCUGAGUUCCCCCUGACAGAAGGACAGUGACAGCUUUUGAGUGCUGGUAGAUCCUUUGAAUAGACAGCCUCGAGUGUGUCCUUGUUGCCCCAGUAGGCCUUGUCCAACUCCUCAUCUUCCAGGGGAUGUACAUAUUGAAGUUUCAAAUGCUCUUCCUAAUCCUUUGUUGGCUUGAGGCUCUCCCCUCAGGAACUGCAGGAACUCCUGGUGCCGCCUGGGCCGAUGGAUUGGACGCCCCAGCCCCUCCGUUCCUGCCCAGCCCCUGGGGCCGUGUCCAGUGGUGGCACUGCCAGCCCUGCAGGGGAAGUGGGAAGGGCCUUUGCAGGUCUGGUGGCUCACAUUGAUAGCAGGUAAAGUUGCAGUAAAAGGAUGUUGGGUCUGUUAUUCUUGAGUUAGGAAAGCUCCUUUUGAUGGGUGAGCAGAACAAAGUGGAUCCUUCAGAGUUCCCAUCCGUGUUUGUGUCUCAGCCUGUGUUAGGAUUCAGGGCUGUCAGUUGUUGUCACUGAGGAGUCAAACUGUGCUUUAAAUAAUGAGACACUGGCCUGAUGGCCCAGUGUCAAGAAAAAAGGGGGAAUGAUAUCUGAGUGUUGAGAUGUAACAAGAGCUGAU